rnacentral:rRNA from 1 species
GACGAACGCUGGCGGCGUGCUUAACACAUGCAAGUCGAACGAAGAGCGAUGGAAGCUUGCUUCUAUCAAUCUUAGUGGCGAACGGGUGAGUAACGCGUAAUCAACCUGCCCUUCAGAGGGGGACAACAGUUGGAAACGACUGCUAAUACCGCAUACGAUCUAAUCUCGGCAUCGAGGAUAGAUGAAAGGUGGCCUCUACAUGUAAGCUAUCACUGAAGGAGGGGAUUGCGUCUGAUUAGCUAGUUGGAGGGGUAACGGCCCACCAAGGCGAUGGUCAGUAGCCGGUCUGAGAGGAUGAACGGCCACAUUGGGACUGAGACACGGCCCAGACUCCUACGGGAGGCAGCAGUGGGGAAUCUUCCGCAAUGGACGAAAGUCUGACGGAGCAACGCCGCGUGAGUGAUGACGGCCUUCGGGUUGUAAAGCUCUGUUAAUCGGGACGAAAGGCCUUCUUGCGAAUAGUGAGAAGGAUUGACG